rnacentral:rRNA from 1 species
UACGGGGGGGAGCAAGCGUUGUUCGGAUUUACUGGGCGUAAAGGGCGCGUAGGCGGCCACCGCAAGUCGACUGUGAAAUCUCCGGGCUUAACUCGGAAAGGUCAGCCGAUACUGCGGGGCUAGAGUGCAGAAGGGGCAACUGGAAUUCUCGGUGUAGCGGUGAAAUGCGUAGAUAUCGAGAGGAACACCAGUGGCGAAGGCGACUUUCUGGGCUGUAACUGACGCUGAGGCGCGAAAGCCAGGGGAGCAAACGGG